AACGUAGGAGACGAACGUUAUCCGGAGUUACUGGGCGUAAAGCGCGCGUAGGCGGCUUUGCAAGUCGGGUGUGAAAUCCCCAGGCUUAACCUGGGGAACUGCAUUCGAGACUGCAUUGCUAGAGUAUGGGAGAGGGAAGUGGAAUUUCCGGUGUAGCGGUGAAAUGCGUAGAUAUCGGAAGGAACAUCAGUGGCGAAAGCGACUUCCUGGACCAAUACUGACGCUCAUGUGCGAAAGCGUGGGGGAGCAAACAGG
rnacentral:rRNA from 1 species